rnacentral:rRNA from 1 species
CAGGACGAACUUAAAGGCUCACCCACAGCAGAGGGAAAAGUAAACCCAGCGAGACAAAGCUAUUCCGGCUCCCUCUCUCGAGCUCGCCGCUUCCUCUCUCCGCCUCCUCUCUCCGCUAAGGCUCGAUAAGGUGGCAAGCUAAAACUAAAACAGGAGGGAUAAGAGAAACGGGGGCCGACGGCUCAACGUCCACCGACGAAUACUAAAAGGGGACCAUCUACUCCGUACAGACUUACACAAGGUCCUUCGAGAGACUUAAACUACGAAGAUAAUGACACAUUAAAAUGGGGGCUCUGUACAUUACAUCGAGUUUUCAUGUCACCUAGUAUGGGGGUCUUAAUGUCACAUUGAUGACACAUUAUCCAAACGUCUUGGAGUGACAGGGUGGAAAACGUCAUAUUAAGACGGUAAAAAUGUCACAUUAAUUGUACGAAAUGUCACAUUAAGAGGGUAUAGACAUUAAUGACACAGUAAGAGGGUUUAUGACACAAUAAAUAACAAGCUAAUGUCACAUUAAACACGAUAGUCAUAACACAUUAAAGGGGGGAUUAAGGUCACAUAUAAGGGUCUAUACGUUCUAAAAAGUUACAUAAAUACGGGCCUUAGUGACACAUUAAACAGGAUCAUACAAGUGUCCUUAAAUCGGGUUAAUGAGUACAUGACACAUAUACGUCUAAAAAGUCAUAUAAUACGGACCUUAGUGACACAUUAAACAGGAUAAAUACAAGUGUCAUUAAAUCGAGUUAAUGAGUACAUUAAAUGUCACAUAAGCGGGUCUAAAUGUCACAAAAAUACGGGACCUCAGUGACACAUAUGAGGGUCUAGUGACACAUCAAAUGAAACAUUUAAAUCGGGUUGGUGAGUACAUUAAUAUCACAUAAAGGGAUCUCAAAAUGUGACAUUAAACAUACCAAUGUUACGUUAAAAACAUACUGAAUGUUACGUUAAGUGGUCUCAAAAUGUAACAUAAAGGGAUCUGAAUGUAACAUUUAAACAUACAAACUCCUGACAUUAAAGUCAUACUGAAUGUUACAUUAAGUAGUCUGAAAAUGACAGAAUAGGGAUCUCAUAAUGUGACAUUAAACACACGAACUCCUGACAUUAAAGUCAUACUGAAUGUUAAAUUAAGUAGUCUGAAAAUGUGACAUAAAGGGAUCUCAUAAUGUGAUAUUAAACACACGAACUGACGUUAAUUUCAUACUGAAUGUUACAUUAAG